rnacentral:lncRNA from 1 species
UUACAGGCACACAUGUCAGCAGGCUGAUGGCUGAUCAGUUUUGGUCCUGUCUGACCACUGCACUGCACUGUCUGUUGGAGACUGAGAUAAUGUUCAUCUCCUUGAGUCUGUAGCAAACAGAGAACAAUGAGCCCUUCAGCCCUCCUCUGUCCAUCUGUCCUGACUGCUGAUGGAACAUUCAACUCUGAAAACAGGUGUCCCAGUCAGGUCCUCAGGCUGGGAUGGCAAACAGCCCUACCACAGAGUGGUCACGGUUCUUACCUCCACUUGAUCAUCAAAAACGUCUUGCCAAACAAUGGAGCUCUUCUUUAAGGAUGUGAUAAUAUCCAAAAUCCUAACAUUGAAGACGUGGACUGUUACUUGGAUCACCAGAUGUAGCUGCACUUCUGAUCAAGCUCAGACUGUCCCAGAAUGACUUGUGAGACCCUGCCACACAUGAAUAGAGGUCCCUCAGGGAACGCCUCGGGCGAACAGCCUCAACACGGAACUUCCUUCCUAUCCUCUUUAUAGAACCGUGGUUCUCAACCUUCCUGAUGCUGCAACCCUUUAGUAUAGUUGCUCAUGUUGUGGUGACCACACCAUAAAACUAUUAUUGUUGUUACUUCAUAACUAAUUUUGCUACUGUUAUUAGUCAUAAUGUAAGUAGCUGAUAUUUCCAAUGGUCUUAAAGGGGUCACAACCAACAGGUUAAGAGCCACUGGUAUAGAAGAACCAAGUAAAGCUGGGUAGCAAUUCACAUAGCAACUCUCAUGCUUUGGGACCUAGUGUAGUAGGUACUGUCUCUGAAAUAGGGAGGGGUCUCAAACUCAUAAAACUGUCCCAACAGAACUCUAGUAAUCUCUUGGGUUUCCAAAGAUUUCUUGGAAGAAAGGAAACUGGUCAGUUGUUAGCUGGCACAGAUUAGCAUUUAGGCAGUAACAAACACUUGAAUGUCACACAGAAGCUUAAUAGGAACGGUGUCAACUCUGAGCAUCCCAAAUGGAUGGAGCAGAGUAGAGCUGCGAAGCUUUCCCUUUUUCUUUUUAAAAGAGAUUUGCAACUCCACAUGGCCCAUGAUGCCUAAGGGUGGUCUGGUCCCUAUGGGGAAAAAUGUGCUGAUUCCUAGAGAACAGACUGUCCACCAAACUUUUGGGAAGUGGUCUGUCUGUGUUUUCUAACAAGGCAGCCACCACUUCAGUACCAAUUCCCUGGCUGUGGAAUGUUGGAAAUGUCACUGCACUGUGUAAGGAGCAGAGAUGCCCCAGGUCACUCAGGACAAAGGGAGUGAGUUCCAGCCCCUGGAUAGUGCAAAAGACAAAGGGCAGCCAGAGCUCCUAGCAGGCGCAUGGCUUCUCCCUCUAUUUCAGUAGUUACUGCAAAAUGCUUACUGCCUCCUAGGUGUUCUUGGCUCCACUCUUGCAAGCAGUGGGGAAGAUGAGAAGUAAAGCAGAGAGCUAAGUCGCAGCUUGGACUUGUAUGAAAACAGUGGUGAUUAGGCUUUCAGAUGACUUACUUUUUGAUAUAAAAGGAUUCUAGUCUUCUAAAAUUGUUGCCAAAGCCCUUUUUCUUCAUGAAAUUUUGGAUGUUUGGGUUUGAUGCCCUUAAAUAAAACAGUGGGAUGUUAUAAACAUU